rfam:Ancylostoma ceylanicum strain HY135 Acey_s0094_scaf, whole genome shotgun sequence.
GGCCUUGUGGCCUAAUGGAUAAGGCGUCGCACUUCGGAUCCGAAGAUUGCAGGUUCGAGUCCUGCCAGGGUCG